AUGUUAAGAAGGCAAAAAUUGACCAAGAAUAGUGAGAGCUCAAGAACUGAAGAAAGUCGAGUGUGAAGCAAACCGAAAACAAAAUCCACCCAUCUUUCUUCAACAAUUAAAGAAAGUACGUUCAGGGUUGGACUCAGGAAAAAUGUUGCCUUUAAUAGAGCUUUGGUUUCUCCAAUCUGCUUCAAGAUGGGAUAUUCAUCCCAGAGUGCAAGACUUGAAGGCAAGGUGGCACUAAUUACUGGAGCAGCAAGCGGCCUAGGAAAGGCAACUGCAUCAAAAUUCAUCAGCAAUGGUGCCAAGGUUGUUCUUGCAGAUAUCGAACACCAGCUUGGGCAAGACGCGGCAAAGGAGAUUGGUCCUAAUGCCAGCUUCAUUGCCUGUGAUGUCACAAAAGAAUCCGACAUUUCCAAUGCUGUGAUUUCACCAUCUCUAAGCACAGCCAGCUUGAUAUUAUGUACGGAAAUGCAGGUGUAGCUUGUAACUCUCCUCCAAGCAUUGUGGACCUUGACCUGGCAGUGUUUGAUCGGGUCAUGAACAUCAAUGUCUGAGGAGUACUGGCAGGAAUUAAGCACACUUCGCAUGUGAUGAUCCCUCGCAAAACUGGCUCAAUUCUCUGCACACCCAGCAUCGCAAGACUAAUGGGAGGAGUAG